rnacentral:rRNA from 1 species
AACGAACGCUGGCGGCAUGCCUAACACAUGCAAGUCGAACGAUCCCUUCGGGGAUAGUGGCGCACGGGUGCGUAACGCGUGGGAACCUGCCCUUAGGUUCGGAAUAACUCAGAGAAAUGUGAGCUAAUACCGGAUAAUGUCUUCGGACCAAAGAUUUAUCGCCUUUGGAUGGGCCCGCGUUGGAUUAGCUAGUUGGUGGGGUAAAGGCCUACCAAGGCGACGAUCCAUAGCUGGUCUGAGAGGAUGAUCAGCCACACUGGGACUGAGACACGGCCCAGACUCCUACGGGAGGCAGCAGUGGGGAAUAUUGGACAAUGGGCGAAAGCCUGAUCCUGCAAUGCCGCGUGAGUGAUGAAGGCCUUAGGGUUGUAAAGCUCUUUUACCCGGGAUGAUAAUGACAGUACCGGGAGAAUAAGCCCCGGCUAACUCCGUG